rnacentral:rRNA from 1 species
GGGUGCAAGCGUUGUCCGGAAUUAUUGGGCGUAAAGAGCUCGUAGGUGGUUCGUCACGUCGGAUGUGAAAAUCUGGGGCUUAACCCCAGACCUGCAUUCGAUACGGGCGAGCUAGAGUGYGGUAGGGGAGACUGGAAUUCCUGGUGUAGCGGUGGAAUGCGCAGAUAUCAGGAGGAACACCAAUGGCGAAGGCAGGUCUCUGGGCCAUUACUGACACUGAGGAGCGAAAGCGUGGGGAGCGAACAGGAUUAGAUACCCUGGUAGUCCACGCCGUAAACGGUAGGCACUACGUUGUGGGAACCUUCCACGGUUUCUGCGACGCACGUAACGCAUUAAGUGCCCCGCCUGGGGAGUACGAUCGCAAGAUUAAAACUCAAAGGAAUUGACGGGGCCCCGCACAAGCAGCGGAGCAUGCGGCUUAAU